rnacentral:rRNA from 1 species
GAUGAACGCUGGCGGCGUGCCUAAUACAUGCAAGUCGAGCGAACGGACGAGAAGCUUGCUUCUCUGAUGUUAGCGGCGGACGGGUGAGUAACACGUGGAUAACCUACCUAUAAGACUGGGAUAACUUCGGGAAACCGGAGCUAAUACCGGAUAAUAUUUUGAACCGCAUGGUUCAAAAGUGAAAGACGGUCUUGCUGUCACUUAUAGAUGCAUCCGCGCUGCAUUAGCUAGUUGGUAAGGUAAUGGCUUACCAAGGCAACGAUGCAUAGCCGACCUGAGAGGGUGAUCGGCCACACUGGAACUGAGACACGGUCCAGACUCCUACGGGAGGCAGCAGUAGGGAAUCUUCCGCAAUGGGCGAAAGCCUGACGGAGCAACGCCGCGUGAGUGAUGAAGGUCUUCGGAUCGUAAAACUCUGUUAUUAGGGAAGAACAUAUGUGUAAGUAACUGUGCACAUCUUGACGGUACCUAAUCAGAAAGCCACGGCUAACUACGUG